UGUAUAUACACGGGUAGGUUUUUAAUCCAGUAAAAAUUGAAGAAAUUUCACGAGGGAGAGAGAGAGAGCAUUGCCGGAAACGGUGGGAAGAGAGCAGCGAAUCACGUGAAAAUUCUCCGGCGCUUCGUUUCCGGCCACCUGAUCUCCGCCGUAAAUAUGACAACAUCAAGGCGUCUUGCAGAUAGGAAGGUGUCAAGGUUUGAGAAGAACAUUACCAAGAGAGGAGCCGUGCCUGAAACGACUACAAAAAAGGGAAAUGACUAUCCUGUUGGCCCUAUUCUCCUCGGCUUUUUCAUAUUUGUUGUCAUUGGAUCAUCUCUGUUUCAGAUGAUCAGGACAGCAACGAGUGGAAACAUGGGUUAAGCAAAUGUUGUUAUAUUGUAGCAAAUGGCUACUUUUUGUAAUGUGCAACUUUUUUGGAUAACAUACAUACAUAAUAGACUUCGAAAUUGAGCUUUCAUUUACAAUACUAUAGAGGUUGUUGAUCAUGCUGUGGAAAGUUUGAAAAUGAAAUAAAACCUUCCUAGACUCUUCUCCAUCA